rnacentral:rRNA from 1 species
AGUGAACGCUGGCGGUGGGCCUAACACAUGCAAGUCGAGCGGCAACACAGUAAGCUUUUUCCCUUGCGGUUAGCGGGUGACGGACGGGUAAGACAUACAUCACCUUCUUCUUAUUCUUGGGUGAUUACGGAGGGAAGCUGACGCUACUAGCUCAUAUGUCGUACGGCAUGAAUCAGUGGAUCUUGAGACUUUUGCCGUUUCAUUUAGCCGGUGUCGGAUUAGCUAGUUGGCUGGGUAAAGGCCCACCAAGGCAACGAUGCGUAGCCGAUCUGAGAGGAUGAUCAGCCACACUGGAACUGAGACACGGUCCAGACUCCUACGGGAGGCAGCAGUAGGGAAUAUUCCGCAAUGGGCGAAAGCCUGAUGGAGCAAUGCCGCGUGAGUGAUGAAGGUCUUCGGAUUGUAAAGCUCUGUUAUUGGGGAAGAAAAGAAGUAUAAUAAACCACCGAUGUCCUGACGGUACCUAAAGAGAAAGCAACGGCUAACUUCGUG